rnacentral:tRNA from 1 species
GUGGCUGUAGCUCAGUUGGUUUAGAGUGCCGCUCUGUGAAAGCGGAGGUCGCGGGUUCAAGUCUCGUCAGCCACC